UCGGAACGGCACCNCUGGCUUUCGGGCCNUGGGGGCGAGUGGCGAACGGGUGAGUAAUACAUCGGAACGUGCCCUGUCGUGGGGGAUAACUAGUCGAAAGAUUAGCUAAUACCGCAUACGACCUGAGGGUGAAAGCGGGGGACCGCAAGNCCUCGCGCGAUAGGAGCGGCCGAUGUCUGAUUAGCUAGUUGGUGGGGUAAAGGCCUACCAAGGCGACGAUCAGUAGCUGGUCUGAGAGGAUNAUCAGCCACACUGGGACUGANACACGGCCCAGACUCCUACGGGAGGCAGCAGUGGGGAAUUUUGGACAAUGGGGGCAACCCUGAUCCAGCAAUGCCGCGUGUGUGAAGAAGGCCUUCGGGUUGUAAAGCACUUUUGUCCGGAAAGAAAUGGCUCUGGCUAAUACCCGGGGUCGAUGACGGUACCGGAAAA
rnacentral:rRNA from 1 species